rnacentral:lncRNA from 1 species
CCGGUCUCCCUACCCUGCAACAAUAUAAGAAAAAGGGGGCAGCUGCUCUAGUAUGGAGUAUUUCCUCCAGCUCCAAAGCGGCGGAAGCGGAAGCAAAAGCCGCAGCCUUUCCGCUUUCCGCUCGCGCCGCACCCGCACUCGCAUUCCCACAAUCCCACCACGCCCGUCUCCGUCCUGUGACAUGCCACUCGCCCGCGCCGCCGGCAUCCCCCCUCCUCGUCGUUCCGCGCCCGAGGAGGAGGAGGAGGAGGAGGAGACGGCGGUGGCAGCGGCGGCGGGACCG